AUGAUCCCCGUGGGAGAGUGCCACGGUCUUGAUCGAUGUGCGUGAUUACAUCGAUAGGGAUUGCGCGGACGCCGAAGGAGCAACCACCCCGGAAACUCUCAGGCAAACGGACCGCGGGGAGAUG
rnacentral:ncRNA from 2 species